GAGUUUGAUCAUGGCUCAGAUUGAACGCUGGCGGCAUGCCUUACACAUGCAAGUCGAACGGCAGCACGGGAGCUUGCUCCUGGUGGCGAGUGGCGAACGGGUGAGUAAUGCAUCGGAACGUAUCCUGGAGUGGGGGAUAACGUAGCGAAAGUUACGCUAAUACCGCAUAUUCUGUGAGCAGGAAAGCGGGGGACCUUCGGGCCUCGCGCUCUUGGAGCGGCCGGUGUCGGAUUAGCUAGUUGGUGAGGUAAAGGCUCACCAAGGCGACGAUCCGUAGCAGGUCUGAGAGGAUGAUCUGCCACACUGGAACUGAGACACGGUCCAGACUCCUACGGGAGGCAGCAGUGGGGAAUUUUGGACAAUGGGGGCAACCCUGAUCCAGCCAUGCCGCGUGAGUGAAGAAGGCC
rnacentral:rRNA from 1 species